rnacentral:rRNA from 1 species
UACGUAGGGGGCAAGCGUUGUCCGGAAUCAUUGGGCGUAAAGCGCGUGUAGGCGGCUCGAUAAGUCUGCUGUGAAAGUCGGGGGCUCAACCCUCGGAUGCCGGUGGAUACUGUCGGGCUUGAGUACGGAAGAGGCGAGUGGAAUUCCUGGUGUAGCGGUGAAAUGCGCAGAUAUCAGGAGGAACACCAAUUGCGAAGGCAGCUCGCUGGGACGUUACUGACGCUGAGACGCGAAAGCGUGGGGAGCAAACAGG